rnacentral:lncRNA from 1 species
UUUUUUUUUGUUUGUUUUAUUUUCCAUUAUCUCUUCAAGGAUGUUUGCAUAGCAGAUGGGCUUAGAAGUUAGAGACUGUGUCUCUUUCGAAUCAGGAUAAUAAAGAUAAUGUCCUCCUCCUGGGCAAAGAUUGAAUAGGCCUACCAGCAGUCCCUUAGAAGAUUAAAAGUUUCUGAAAUUUAGGGUUCCUUGGCUGUGACAAAGACUUACUCCCUGCAUAGCAUGCAACUGGGCUGCUCCUCAUCACUCUCAGAAACUUGUAAAGAAAGAGUAACUGAUGCAGCUGAAGCUUAUUCUGCCUUUGUGCCAGGCACGAUGACCCAAAGGCCUGUGUCUUCUCUCAGGAUCUGUGAAGUUUGCAGGCUAACUUGCUAUCUUUUAUGCAAGAUAAGAUCCCAGACCCACGUCAGCUCCUGACACCAAGAUGGGAGAGCACAGUAGUAAUAAACAACUAUGUUAUGAAGAAGCCCAUCUUGAUUUGGAAUGUCUCUAAUCGUUUAAAAAAUAUUUUUUAUAGCAUCAUGUAAUAUGAAUGUUGCAAGUUAUUUUGGGUAUUCUAAUCCAGUCCUCUAAUCAAUAUGGUGGGGGUUAUAAAAAAUAAAAGAAUAAAGAAAUAAAUAAGUGGGCAAAUAAAAAAGGGACAGUAACUUAGUGAAAACUGCAAUUAAGGAAAUAACCCUGGAUAAAGUGAUAAGACAUUAGAGUUGGGAAAGCCCUUUGGUGUGGGUGGUCAAGAAUAUCUUCACUGAGCCCUCUUCUGCCAGAACACAGGCACUAAGUACUAAACAAAUAUUUAGCAGAUGGAUAAAUAAGUAAAAUGAAUUGUAAUUAUAGACACAUGUAAAUUAAAACUGAACUUUUAGUCAACUUAAACAUUCUUCUUUUGGGUUUAAUGUAUGCUAAGUAAGUAGUAGCAUGGAUUAGGGAAAAGAAUCCAGUCCCAGAGUAACGGUCCUGUGGGGACUACUGCUUUGAAACUUGAUUAAAUUUAUAGUUACUUUAUAGAAGAAUUCACAUAUACAUAUGCAUGCCACACUCUCCAUCAGCUUUAUUUUAUAUCCCCAUUAUCAACUCUGCCCGAUGUGGCUUCUAACAUGAAGGACCUGAUUUUUUGAAGAUCUGUGAAUGUUAGAAGUGACUGUUAGCUUUUUGUUCAACUAAAAUCUGUUCUUCUUUAGUCCAGUCUGCAUUACUGAUGUUGCUCAUCUUCGUCACCAAGACAAGGUGCAAACAUCAACCUUGCAGGAGUAACUUUCAGAGAACUUCACAAUGUUUCCAACUGUCUAUGAAUAUUAGCAACAGGGAAAAAAAAAACAAAAAAUAGAAAAUGUCCAACUGUAACCCACAGAACUAGCCUUUCAGUUUUGGAUAGUUAGUACAGCACAUGCUCGCGGUGCUUAGGCCACAUCCCCUGUCCCUUUUACCAUUCCGUAGUGCAACAAUGCUCAGACUCUGCGUGCUCGGUCUCCUACAACUGGUACCUCCAUUUCCUUAUCAAAGGGCUCCCUUCAGACUGCCCCAGUUGAUGUGGGCUGCAUGCUACUGGGGGAACAGUACCUGGGAACUUCUUCCUGAGGCUACCUUUCAACUACAGGUAUGGAGCUAUAGAUAAUCCAGCUCUCCUACCACUGCAGGACAACUCAGAUGUGUGACCUAGUGACCUACACUGGCUGAAGAGAUCUCCUGAGCACUUGAAGCUAAGUUCCCAGGAGACAUUUUAGAAUCCCACUUGGGUUCCUGUACUUCCUGCUCCACUUCUCCAUUCUCCUACUGAGCUUUUCUGGAAAGACUUCCUAAUGAAUCACCUUCACAGGAACAUUCUUGUCAAGGUUUGUCUCUGGAAAAUCCAAAACUAAACCAAACCAGAUAAUAUUGUUAAGAAUUUUGAGAUGGCAGCCACAAAGGUUUAGUCUCCAUGUGCCAUGCAGUGGAGUUUCCUUCCGAAUAUGAAGCCCUGUGCAGUUGUACUGAUAAAUAAUCCCAUAAAGCGAGUCCUGGUUAUAUGAGUUCUUCUCCCCAAUCUGUUACUCUAAGUGAACAGUUUGGAAAUGGGUGAAGCUACUAACAAUAUUAUCUUUAAUUUGUGUUUUGUUAGUGAAGUCUGAUGGGACAGUGGGGCAAGUGCCAGGGGGCUUGGGGCCUCGGCUUCCAUAUGACCCUUCAUUCUGCUCCCUCCCAGUCUCCCUAAGGCAGACAGAUUCUCAACCUCUCUCUCCCACACUGAUAAGUGUCUGCAGCC